rnacentral:misc_RNA from 1 species
AAAACAAGCAACUCCGUGGUUUCCGGCACCGACGAACCACCGACGCGUGUAAGCUCUGUCAAAUUCGGCCCUCGCGCUCGAGCAGGGGGCGGGCCACCGCGGAACCCUCGAUCCGAGGGGAGGUCCCAGAACGAGGAGAGGCCGGCCUCGCCGGAUCUAUCGGUUUCUUAUGGGAACCUGCUUCGGAAAGGAUGUGGAUGAUACUGAUCCAGAUGAGAAGAUAGAUUUUUCUGGAGGAAAUGUGCAUAUCAUAAAUAGCAAACAGGAGUGGGAUGAAAAAAUUUCAG